AACUUGAUUUCUAGUACACAUCCUCUAAAAAAAAAAAAAAAAAAACUGUACAUCCUGGGAGGAAACGAAACUAAAGAACAGUUAGAGUAACUGCCUAACCUCGGAAUUGAAAGACAGUUGUUCUUUACUAAGUAAAGCAGGCACAUGCAUAAAGGAUGCUUCCGUUUGCUGGACCUUUGAACAUUAUUGAAUCUUUAGUUCAGUUGCCUAUGCUGUGGAUACUUGGAUGAGAAGUCUGAUUAGGGCAAUGACUUGUAAACCCACCGUAAGGGUAUUUGGUUUUUGACUGGAAGUUCUAUUCGAACCCCUUCCUGGAAUCUUAAAGAUUUCUACAACUGUGAACAAAGGGAAGUGCCCAAGGUGUCCCGAUCUAAUUAGUUGAACUCUCUGGGGCUUGUUCAGCAUUUCAAAAGAGAUGGACAGGCAGAUUCCUGUGAUGUUCCGUGUGUGUGUGUGUGUGUGUGUGUGUUCCCGGCAACAUCUAUCAAAGUGUGGAAACACAUGUUUUCAGUGCCGCUGAGAGAAACAAAAUUUCUAAUGCGCCUGCGAGAUAAGCUUCUGCAGUAUCACAAGAAGAUUAAAGUGGCAGACACUCCUUCCAGCGGAAGUUACUAAUUCGGACCUGACUGAUGCAGUUCCCAUAGCAACCCAUGUUUCCUGGGAAACCCGAAAAAGGUUGUCAUGGCAUCUCUUGCUUUCUAGCCCCACCCCCUAGCCCCUGCCGUUUCCACAAUAACCUUUCCAGAUGGUUCCUCCUUACGGGAUUUCAUAAGGAAAACCACUAUUUGGAUAAACCGCACAAAUAAAGUUAUGCCUGAAAAUCUGAGGUGGUGAAAUGAAUCACAAAAUGCAUAUUUUUUUUACUACAGAAAAUCAUUGACAUCAUCUCAUAAUGACUGAAUCGGAAAGGAAAAUAUUGCCUUUGGGAUGUUAGAUCUAUACUACAAUAAGGCAUGAUUUGAAUUAAAUGCCAAUAAUUAGGCAAUAAUUUAAAAGGAUACUGUUUUCUUCCUCCAAGAAGUUUCAAGCUAACAAGUGAAAUUUAAAAGCAAAUGUAAAAGUGUUCUGUACAUAAGCAGAUGAAAGAGUCAAUCAGUGUACCUGAAACCUUACUACAAGGGACCUUCAGACUUCCUCUUUAAAAAAAAAAAAAAUCCAGAUCCCACAACAGCACUUGAAAAGCUAAAUAAACUUUAAAAAUAUAAAGGAUACCUGUUUUUUAACUAAGGGAAUUGCAGACAAUCAAUAGAAAGGAGGGACGGGAAGUAACCAAAUCUUGGGAAAAUACCUGCAAGUUUCAGCCAUAUACCAGGGGUUGCCAGAAGACAAACAGAAACAGAUACCUGAAGAGUCCCAUAGAGAACUGUAGAGCUGCACUAAACAACAGGAUGUUCAUUUCUAAAUUGCCUACAUCAAGACUGCAGUGCUGGUUCUAUCACUGACGGGCAGUGAUCUGUCUGCCAGUACAUGUGUUUGUUUGAGUUGACAUUAAAUAACCUGUCUUUAAUAAAUGCUUUAUAUAAAGGAAACAGCUCUAAAGCUGGAGGAUUCUCUUCAAAUUGUAUGCAAUAUUAAAGAUAGUGAUAAAGAGAUAAAGAAAAACAUGAAAAAAUAUUAAGAGAUCAUUUCAACUUUUUUGACAUUUUACUGAAAUCAAAUCACUCAAAAACGAAUCAGGUACUGCUGAUAAAGAAAAUCUGAAUGUUUGUUUGUAACAAGCCAACUGGUACUGUUUUCUUCAUUCAGUUAAUCACUGGACUAUGUUGAAUCAUGAGAUUUAGUAAUGUUAUCUUCUGUGUUCUGAGUUAUGUGCAACCUUAUUUGUGAAGGUGUGUUUUGUACCAAAGGCUCUCCUACAUAGAUUGGCCCAUUUUACACAUAAAUAAGUGAAGUCUACACUGUGCCCAGAUGAAUGGUAUUAAACAGACUGGCCUAAAAGAAAUGUGCCUUGCUUAAUUAAACAUCCUUUUAUUUUUUGAUCAAAAUGAUAGAUUUACAAUUAGCCUCAUAGGUAGGUUUUAGCUGAAUGUAAACCUAAAAAUAUAUUAGUAUUUAUUAUAUGUUUAAGUUGCCUAUUUUAACUAAAAUUUUAAUAUUUAGUUAUAGUUUGCAGCAUUUUACAUAUAAUAUCCUCAUUCAAGUUAGUUUUCACGUGGUUUGGUAUGGUGAGAAAAAGCACAUUCUUAAAGAUAUAAUAUUUCAUCUAAUGUUUAUAGAAUUUCCUUCAAAAUUAUAUCUGUAAAAGAUUUCUUGACUUAUUUUCUAUUUUUGUAUUUUAUUCCUUUAGAAAUGGAACUUUUUUCAAUAAAAAAGAGCAAAGUUUUAGUUGGAAAAGAGAUUAAGGAGGUCAUGAAGAUGAUUUCCCAUUUGGGAAACAUUUCACUUUUGUGCCAUUAUUAAUGUAUUUACUGUGACAUUUCAGCAGAAUGGUAGCUAUUUGUAUAUUAUUUAAUAAGCCUUAUGGAAAGUCAAACUGUGAACAUUUGGUAUAAUGAAGACUUUUUUCAUUCUCAUAUUUUAUUUUUGAAACA
rnacentral:lncRNA from 1 species